rnacentral:rRNA from 1 species
UACGUAGGGUGCAAGCGUUUGUCCGGAAUUAUUUGGGGCGUAAAGAGCUCGUAGGCGGUUUGUCGCGUCGGCUGUGAAAGCCCCGGAGCUCAACUCCGGGUCUGCAGUCGAUACGGGCAGACUUGAGUGUUGCAGGGGAGACUGGAAUUCCUGGUGUAGCGGUGAAAAUGCGCAGAUAUCAGGAGGAACACCGGUGGCGAAGGCGGGUCUCUGGGCCGAUAUUGACGCUGAGGAGCGAAAGCGUGGGGAGCGAACAGG